UGGGGAAUCUUGCACAAUGGGCGAAAGCCUGAUGCAGCAACGCCGCGUGCGGGAAGACAGCCCUAGGGUUGUAAACCGCUUUCAGCAGGGAAGAAACUGACGGUACCUGCAGAAGAAGAUGCGGCCAACUACGUGCCAGCAGCCGCGGUGACACGUAGGCAUCAAGCGUUAUCCGGAUUUAUUGGGCGUAAAGAGCUCGUAGGCGGUUCGGUAAGUCGGGUGUGAAAACUCUGGGCUCAACCCAGAGAGGCCACUCGAUACUGCUGUGACUAGAGUGCGGUAGGGGAGCAGGGAAUUCCUGGUGUAGCGGUGAAAUGCGCAGAUAUCAGGAGGAACACCAGUGGCGAAGGCGCUGCUCUGGGCUGUAACUGACGCUGAGGAGCGAAAGCAUGGGUAGCAAACAGGAUUAGAUACCCUGGUAGUCCAUGCCGUAAACGUUGGGCACUAGGUGUGGGUCUCAACCAACGAGAUCCGCGCCGUCGCUAACGCAUUAAGUGCCCGCCUGGGAGUACGGUCGCAAGAC
rnacentral:rRNA from 1 species